AUUUCCUCUGAUGCACAUAAGAAAUACGACAGUAAAAGACACAAGUCGUGCUGAGAUACUGAUUAUGUCGGCGUAUUUUGCCAACGACACAUUCAAUACAGCUUUCAAGUGAUAUAGCCUCCAUGGUAGACCGCAAUCAACCAGUAUGAGAUGUUGAUUCUCCCGAACAGGUUAGCAGACACGAAACAUUAAGAAUGAAGAGAAGACACAUACAACAAGACUCUGAUGGCAAAUCAGUUUCAACCUGGAAGACAACUCUGGGUUGUGUGUGGGGUUCGAAGCUGCAGAAUUCAACAACUAGGCAGGGAACAAAACAAAUGUUCCAGCAUCUCGCAAUCCUCCUUCAAUUUGUCGACGGCACUGAAGGCAAUCCACGUUAAUGAGCCUCUUAUUCACCUCGCUCCUUGUUAGGAUAAGUGAAAAGGUAGGUCAGAACAGAGUAGAGAUCUGCGGGGAGCAACAUGAGGGGAGGGGAGGGGACGAACGAGUGAGCACCUCGAGAGGCGGAGGGGGUAUGCGGAAGGUGAGGGCGAGGCUGAUAUGUCGCAGCGCAGGAUGAAGCGGGACUCGCCGCGCCGUGCUUGCCCUGCUGAUGCCGGUGGUCGCCACGGCCAUGGGCGGACGGGCGGCCGGCCGGCCGGAGUGGGGUGGUGAUGAGUUCGGGAGAAUCGCUGUGCCGCCGGCGCGAGGGAGCCCGGCUGGCUGUACAAGGGUUGGCGCGGCGCGGUGGCGGUGGUGAUCCGGCCGGCGUGGCUGCCUCGUCGUCUCCACACUCUGCAGAGAGACAGAUGCAAACCGAAACAGGCAAG
rnacentral:lncRNA from 1 species